rnacentral:lncRNA from 1 species
GACUGCAUAGUUCAUAUAAAUAUAAUUAUCUAAAUCCUAUAUAGACAGUCGGACCCAGGACGAGCUAUAUGAGGUCGGACAGACCAAUAUAUUAUAUAUGUGUGUGUGUGUGCGCGUAUAUACUAAAAAAAAUCCUCAACAAGAUCUGAGGUCACCUUGAUAAAAUUCGAGAUGGAAGACACUGAUCUUGACAGGAUCCGAGGUCAUCCCAAAAUCAUCUACGAGAUUUGAAGCCAUCCCUGAC